rnacentral:lncRNA from 1 species
GCAUUAACACAAGAAAAACAGUUUAUUAAGGCAUGCAGCGCACAUCUCAAGGGAGAAACGUCAGUGAAAAGUAACUCAAAAUGGUGGCUUAGAACUCCACUUACAAGGCAUCUUCAACAAAGAAAAACAAACGUGUAGAGAAAUGACAGGACAAAGAAAAGUGGUUUUAGGUUUCCAAGCAUGGGAAAUUAUGGGAAGGUAAAUACAUGGGAGUCAAGUUUGUUUGCAGACUCUCCUGGGGCCUCUCAGGGCUGACAGGAAUGUAGAGCUGUCUCCAGUAAGGGAGAAUCUAUAUCCUGUCUUCAGGAAGAAAAGCUAGAGGAUAAGAGUUUUUUCCCCGUUUGCUGCUUCUCAAUUGCCUUCAGCUCAAAAAUAAUUUUUAUGUCAAAGAAGCGUAUUUGGGGGUGACAUAGUCUGGUUUCCUAAAGAGGGACUGUGUGGUCAGACGAGAAGAGAACCACUAGGAGUUGUGUACACAGCAGCAGCACCUAAAGGCGAGAAAGAAGGCCACAGCCCACACAACCAGGAGGGAAGGAGAACGCAGCCAGCAUUGAGACAGGGCCCUUGGCUGAGCAGUCCGCAGGCCCAUGUGUGAGUUCUCAAUUAGCUGUCAUAACAUUCUGAAUUUAUUAUCUAUGGUCAUUAGUCUCAUAUUUAUCUCCCCAAGCAUGCCUAAGCAUUCAUGCAGCUGUUGCAGAUGGGGGAACCCUGGUCAGUGAUUGGCCUCCUCAUGCAAACUGGGCCAGUGAAUCUCCGUGGAGGCCACGCUUUCCUGACCCAACAGUCAGCUCCCAGGAAGAAGUCCUCCCUCAUUUUCAAGGCCUCAUUCUUAGCUGUAUCUGGGUGAGUGCUUAGCUGCCUCCACUAUCAGGUCUCUUUUAUCAUUUCCCGCUCGCAGUAGCUUCAGGAUCCACAAGGUCCCACAAUAGGCUGUCUGCAAGCUGAGGGGCAAGGAGAGCCAGUCCGAGUCCCAAAACUGAAGAACGUGGAGUCUGAGGGCAGGAAGCAUCCAGCACGGGAGAAAGAUGUAGGCUGGGAGGCUAGGCCCGUCUCUCUCCUUUUCACAUUUUUCUGCCUACACUAUUAUAUUCACUGGCAGCUGAUUAGAUUGUGCCCACCAGAUUAAGGGUGGAUCUGCCUCCCCCAGCC